rnacentral:rRNA from 1 species
UACGUAGGGUGCGAGCGUUAAUCGGAAUUACUGGGCGUAAAGCGUGCGCAGGCGGUUUGCUAAGACCGAUGUGAAAUCCCCGGGCUUAACCUGGGAACUGCAUUGGUGACUGGCAGGCUAGAGUAUGGCAGAGGGGGGUGGAAUUCCGCGUGUAGCAGUGAAAUGCGUAGAGAUGCGGAGGAACACCGAUGGCGAAGGCAGCCCCCUGGGCUGACACUGACGCUGAGGCACGAAAGCGUGGGGAGCAAACAGG